rnacentral:lncRNA from 13 species
CUAAUACAAUGUCACGACACACACUAUAAUGUCACUGCUUUGUGUAAAGCUACACACUACAAUGUCACUGCUCUGUGUAAAGCUACACACUAUAAUUUCACUGCUCUGUGUAAAGCUACACACUACAAUGUCACUGCUCUGUGUAAAGCUACACACUACAAUGUCACUGCUCUGUGUAAAGCUACACACUAUAAUGUCACUGCUCUGUGUAAAGCUACACACUACAAUGUCACUGCUCUGUGUAAAGCUACACACUAUAAUUCCACUGCUCUGUGUAAAGCUACACACUACAAUGUCACUGCUCUGUGUAAAGCUACACACUACAAUGUCACUGCUCUGUGUAAAGCUACACACUACAAUGUCACUGCUCUGUGUAAAGCUACACACUACAAUGUCACUGCUCUGUGUAAAGCUACUGUAAAGCUGUGUGGACUCAGUUACAGCACGGCAGUACUACAGGGUUCUGUACUGUGGCGUGUGGACAGUUACAGCACGGUGGUACUACAGGGUUCUGUACUGUGGUGUGUGGACUCAGUUACAGCACAGUGGUACUACAGGGUUCUGUACUGUGGUGUGUGGACAGUUACAGCACGGUGGUACUACAGGGUUCUGUACUGUGAUGUGUGGACAGUUACAGCACGGUGGUACUACAGGGUUCUGUACUGUGGCGUGUGGACAGUUACAGCACGGUGGUACUACAGGGUUCUGUACUGUGGUGUGUGGACUCAGUUACAGCACGGUGGUACUACAGGGUUCUGUACUGUGGUGUGUGGACUCAGUUACAGCACGGUGGUACUACAGGGUUCUGUACUGUGGCGUGUGGACUCAGUUACAGCACGGUGGUACUACAGGGUUCUUGAGACACUCACUCUCUCUCUCCUGGUUUGGGUUAACUUGGCCCGCCUGUGUCAUAUUAGGCCUGGAUGUCAAUAACCAAGGCCUGUUUUGAAA